GAACCACCCGAACGUUAUUCGGAAUUACUGGGCUUAAAGGGUGCGUAGGCGGCGCGGAGGGUGGGAUGUGAAAUCCCCCGGCUCAACCGGGGAAUUGCGUUCCAAACCGCCGUGCUCGAGGAAGAUAGAGGUGAGCGGAACAGAUGGUGGAGCGGUGAAAUGCGUUGAUAUCAUCUGGAACACCCGUGGCGAAAGCGGCUCACUGGGUCUUCUCUGACGCUGAGGCACGAAAGCUAGGGUAGCGAACGGGAUUAGAUACCCCGGUAGUCCUAGCCGUAAACGAUGAGCACUUGAUUGGAGGGAUUGUCACGUCCCUCCGGUCGGAGCGAAAGUGUUAAGUGCUCCGCCUGGGGAGUAUGGUCGCAAGGCUGAA
rnacentral:rRNA from 1 species